GUUGAUCCUGCGGGAGGCCGCUGCUAUCUGGAUUCGAUUUAGCCAUGCAAGUUCAGGGGUUCUUCGGAACACCGGCGAAAUGCUCAGUAACACGUCGUUAACCUGCCCUUAAGUCUAGAAUAACCUUGGGAAACUGAGGCUAAUGCUGGAUAUGAGAUUGAUACUGGAAUGUACUUUCUCUGAAAAGUAAUGCUUAAGGAUGGGACGGCGGCUGAUUAGGUUGUUGGUGGGGUAAUGGCCCACCAAGCCUAAGAUCAGUAGGGGCCUUGAGAGAGGUAGCCCCGAGAGGGACACUGAGAUACUGGUCCCAGCCCUACGGGGUGCAGCAGGCGCGAAACCUCUACAAUGCACGGAAGUGUGAUAGGGGAAUCCAGAGUGCCUAUACAUUGUAUAGGCUUUUGCCAAAGGUAAAUACUUUGGCGAAUAAGUGGUGGGUAAGACUGGUGCCAGCAGCCGCGGUAACACCAGCGCCACAAGUGGGGGCCCUUUUUAUUUGGUCUAAAGCGUUCGUAGCCGGUUUAAUAAAUCUUCUGUGAAAUUGUUAAGCUUAACUUAACAGCGUGCAGGAGACACUGUUAAACUUGGGACCGGGAGGAGUUAGGAGUAUUCUUGGGGGAGCGGUAAAUGCUAUAAUCCCUAGAAGACUACCUGUGGCGAAGGCGCCUAACUAGAACGGGUCCGACGGUGAGGGACGAAAGCCAGGGGAGCAAUCCGGAUUAGAUACCCGAGUAGUCCUGGCCGUAAACGCUGCGAGCUAGGUGUUGCACAUUCUUCGUGAAUGUGCAGUGUCGAAGCGAAGGCAUUAAGCUCGCCACCUGGGAAGUACGGUCGCAAGACUGAAACUUAAAGGAAUUGGCGGGGGAGCACCACAAGGGGUGCGGCGUGCGGUUUAAUCUAAUUCAACGCAGAGAAUUUCACCAAGAGCGGCGGCAGGAUGAAGGUCAGUCUAAAGGGCUUACCUAACGAGCCGAGAGGUAGUGCAUGGCCGCCGUCAGCUCGUGCCGUGAGGUGUCCUCUUAAGUGAGGCAACGAGCGAGACCUGUACCUACAAUUGCUAGCAACCAGGCAACUGGGAUUGAGCACAUUGUGGGGACUGCCUUGGAAACAAGGAGGAAGGUGCAGGCUACGGUAGGUCUGUAUGCUCCGAAUCCCUUGGGCUACACGCGCGCAACAAUGGUAGAGACAAUGGGAUACGACUCCGAAAGGAGUAGUUAAACCUCUAAACUCUAUCUAAGUUCAGAUUGAGGAUUGUAACUCAUCCUCAUGACGCUGGAAUCCCUAGUAAUCGGGUCUCAUCACAACCCGGUGAAUAUGUCCCUGCUCCUUGUACACACCGCCCGUCAAACCACUCGAGCAGGGUUUAGGUGAGGCCUAGUUUUUUUGAUUAGUUCGAACCUAAGCCCAGUGAGAUGGGUUAAGUCGUCACAAGGUA
rnacentral:rRNA from 1 species